rnacentral:tRNA from 1 species
GGGCGUGUAGCUCAGUGGUAGAGCUCUGGUUUACACACCAGCGGUCGGGGUUCGAAACCCUCCGCGCGCCCA